rnacentral:rRNA from 1 species
CCCUUAGAUGUUCUGGGCCGCACGCGCGCUACACUGAUCAGUGCAACAAGCAUCCGUCCUUGGCCGACAGGCCCGGGCAAUCUUUGAACGCUGAUCGUGAUGGGGAUAGACUUUUGCAAUUUUUGGUCUUCAACGAGGAAUUCCUAGUAAACGCAAGUCAUCAACUUGCAUUGAUUACGUCCCUGCCCUUUGUACACACCGCCCGUCGCACCUACCGAUUGAAUGGUCCGGUGAAGCCUCCGGAUUGGCGUGCACCCUCGGUGCCGCCGAGAAGUUGGCUAAACCUUACCAUUUAGAGGAAGGUGAAGUCGUAACA